UGCAUUAACAUAGUUAUUUAUUGUCCAGAACAAGUCCAGAGAGCUUGACCUCCCCAAGAAAACAAAACUGCUUAAUCGUCAUCACUCUCUCUAGCAAACAUGGAACAACUUGCAUACCUGCAGUUGGAGCAGAUUAAAGAUGCCAGUCCCAGUAAAAGCAGUAUCUUGGAAGCAUGCUCUGGUAGCAUGUUCAUCAGUGAACCUUUCUUAUCCAACUGGACAGUAAAAUUUUGAGAGUUCGAAGGAUUAUUCCCUGUGAUGGAGAUCUCCACAAAGUUAAAGAGACAACAUAUUUGAACCCCCAGAAGAAAAGAAAAGCAAGGUACAUGACAAUGGCUGAACAUCCUGUAUACAGAGAUGAAGGCUUCUUGGCACAGCAGAAACAAUCCUGGCUGUUGACACAACACAACACUGUGGUGCUGACCAUAAGCACUCCACUUUGCAAUCCACUAUAAAAAGACUACAUUCUUAGCUGCAGAAAAAGUCACUACAACUUUUAAAGGGCUACAGUAGCAGGAAGAUGAAGAGAAGAUUAAUUUCCUACAUUCUCAAGCACGGCCUAGGAGCUUUUCAUCCGUGAGUUCAAGGAUCAUUGGUUAUUUUAUGAAAAGCAGUAUAAGAGCUGAGCUGCUUUGUACGCGUGCCAUUCCAACAUCUUAACAGUGACAAUUUCCAUGUGAAAGGGUAUUUUGUCCAGGUGGUCUAAUUUCACUUACCCUUGCCAUGAACAAAUGGGAAAGUCUGGCACAUAAACUUGUGUCCCACAAGCUUCGAAUAAGAUUGUCCCUUGAAGGGCAAGAUAUGCUUGGGACUACCAUCUGAUGUCACUACUGCCUGUAAUUACUGUUGAAGAUGUAUUUUUGCUGGCCUGGAAAGUCGGGAAGAUGCAUUUCACUUACUGUCAUCAAAGGCAUCUCUUCUCUAAUGAUAGGAACCUUUCUGUAUUACAGAUAGCACGUUUUGUAGUAAGACUCCAGUGAGCUCUUCAAAACAAUACGCUAGAUAGAACAGUUAGGUUGUUCUUUCUGCCUUUCUCUUAAUGGCAGAAUCUUGAUAUUCAUACUUUUAUGAUAAAAAUGGUGUGCUGGUACAAAUUACAGGCCACCAUUUUAGAAUUAUAGCGAAAAAGUGCAUCAUGUUCUGCCUGUACUUGCUCAGUUUAAUCAAAGUGAGAAGAACUUCUCUUGAACCUUUAUUAGGGUAAAAUGUGUAUUAAGUAUAUCAGCAAGGGAGAAAAUAAACUUAGGGGCUUGUAGGCAUCAUUGAACUUGGCAAGCCCUAGCUGGUAGAGUUUAUCAGAGAAGACUGUCAUCUUGUCUGGACCAAAAUAUUUCUCAAAGUUAAAAUGGUCUACUUCAUGCCUUUCAUGGCUCACCAGAAAAAGAUUUUGACUGCAUUUCAGAACAUUCAACAAUGAAAGAGUUAAAAACAUAUAGCUUUUCUUUUUUUCUUUUGAACCUGCUAACACCUUCCUUGUAGAGCUGAAUCAUUAGGCACAAAGUUUGGUGGAGCAAAAUUAAAUCAUUGAUUGUGUUUCAUAAUCCAUGGGACAAGGUAGGAAGGAAGCUUGGUGUGCUAACAUUUUUAUACUCCUUUCAAUUUAAGUCAUUAAUUGCUAAGGUUGUGUGAACAGUCUCCAGUUAUUUAAUGAUAAAGGAAUAUUUCAGAAAGGUGUCAACAGAGAAGCCGGGCAGAUCUCAUGCUUAAAUGAACUUUAGAUUUAAUUCAGUCAGAAGAGUUUCAAAGAUUUCAGUUAAUUGUGAAUUAGUCCCAUCUCUUUAUAUUAUCAGAAGUUUACCAUUUUAUGCUCAGCUUCUAGACACUAGAAGUAAUUCAUAAGUGCUUUAAAUCUUUGCAUUUGAGAGAAUAUAUAACUUGCUUUUCAAAUAUGUCAACCAUGAGCUGUGUCUUUUCAUAUAAAGCCAGCAUUUUAGGAUUCAGUGUUAUAUAACCAGUAGAGAAAGAUUAACCUACUUCUGGCUUUUAGAAUCAGGGUUACUUUUCAAAUAUAGAAAAAAAUUGUAAUGAAGUAUUAUAUAUAAGAUCAAAGACUACAUUUGAAUAUCCAUGUCAGAGGUCUGUAUAUCAUCUAUUGAUUUCCUACACUGAACUCAGGUACAUACUGUACCAAAAUUCAGCCCACUUUACAAAAUGAGGUACAGAAAUCAUAUGCCAAGGGGCCUGUGUGAUAACUGUGUUAUCACUUCUAUGACAGUGCUGUUGAGCUGCACAACUAAGGCAGAGAAGAUUAGGACUUUCUCCCUCGUCCCUUUGCACAGUCUUUGAAUAGCCACGUAUAUUUAAUCUCAUACACAAAAAUGAAAAGACGACUUAAACUCAAAAAAAGUUAAAUUACCUUUGAAGAACAUUUUCUUUCAUUCUGUCUUCUGAAAGUUUAGACAGCGUCUCUUGGUGUUUUGUGGGCCCCUGACUUAGUUCCGAGAUUACAAUAAAUCUACCAUCUACUUAAGAUAUCUCAUAUAUAACAUUUCAAUAUAUUUCUGCCUUAUAUUAUUACGUAAAAAAUAUGAUGGGAGUUAAUCUGACAAAGAAAAUUAACGUUCUUGUUCCAUGUGAGGAGUUAUUUUUAUACAGUUUUAUACUCAAAAAGUAGAUUUAAGUGGACUUAACUUUUUUUCUUGAACUAUAAAUAACACUUUCUUCACUCCAUUUUUUUUCUGGACUCUUAAAAAUAAUUUUGAAUUGAAUUACAGUUGUAUUUACUAGAACUUUUGGAAUACAUUUCUUUUAAAAGCCCACAAUAAAGGAACACUUAGAAACAUUUUGAACCAAAUUUCUAAAUCAGUUAAUGUGAUGACAAAGGGUCAUUGCUCAAAGUCACCCUUAGUAAUCUUAUUAGAAAAUGCUUUGAACAUGAAUAAAACACAUUUCUAAAUCCAGAGAUGAAAUGACUAUUAAAAAUGAAAUUGAUGUUUGAAAAAUAAAAAUCCAAGGUAUUAAAAAAAUGCAGACUUUCUUUUUAACAUUGCAGCGACAUGACUGGAUUUUCAAAAGACAUCAAAGGCUUUAAAUGCUUAAGAAACCUCAAAAUAGAAAGGACUGUAAUCUCACUUAGCUACUGCAGAAGAACAGUGAAAUUAUGUAUUAGUCAGGGCUGCAAAGAUGAAUUUCUUUAGUCAGACUAAUUUUAAGUGGCAGUGUAUGACACUGUCAGCUGGUUUCUUUGUCUAAAAAAAGGAUGCAUAAGAAAUGUAAAUAGUUUAACAUUUGACAGCUAGACUCCUAUUCAUUUUACAUGUUUUUCAUGAGUACUAGACCAAAUCUGAGUAAUGUGAUAUUUAAGAAAUUCCCCGUAUGCCACAUUAAAAGACCGGUUUGGUUGUUUGUUUGUUUUUAAUUAACAGUAUGUAGUUCAUAUCCUCAGUUCCACAAUUGUGAAAAAUAGUUGUGAUCCUGAAUCCAUAUGGCAAUUAAAUGGAACUUACUUAGUUAAAUGGAAGACAAGAUGCAUAUCAAGAAAAGUUAUUAAGCAAGUAUAUCGCAUGGAAGAGCACAGAAUGAAAACUGAGGUUCUGUCUCAGUAGCCUCUGUGAAAUAAAUUGCGUGAUUAUAUCAUAAUCCCAAUUUUACUAUUAAAUAGUCCACAUCACUGAGAUUGCCAACAGAACAGAAACUAACUUGGGUCUUCCCAUAUCACCAGAAAAAAAAAGGGGGGGGGGGAAAUAGCAACUUGCUUGUUUGUAAUAAACAUUAUGAAGAUGAUUUUUUUCCCUCCGCAUCUCCAGUUUAAAUGGAAAAAUAAAAAAAAGUCUUUUUGCUCUAUGAUGACAAACAUUAUUUCUGACAUAGGGGAGAGCUGCCCCAACAUUUCCCUUCAUUUCAGUGCUGAAAGGAGAGGAUACCAUUUCAGUUGUGCUGUAGUGAAUAUAUAGAACUCAAGAUUUACAAAGGCCUUUCAACAAUUCUAUAACAUGCCAAGCACUAGAAAGGAUUAGCUAGUCAUCACUACUUGAAGACUUUGACUGCUUAUGGAAGAACAGUAUACAUAUAGCAUCUCAGUUUGCUCAGUAAUAGAACUAUUCUUCCCCACCUGUACUGAAGAAAACAUUAAAAUGCAGGGGAUUUGUUUUGUUUUUACUGAAAGGAGAAUAUUCCACAAGGGGACUAAAGCCUGUCUUUUCAGUUAUCUGUCGUUUUACUUCUACGCUAGUUUAAAACAUCACAACAGCAAAUUUAUAGGCUUGUCUCUUCUUUCAAAGGUCACAGCCAUUUUAAAACUUCGGACUUCAGACUGCAACAUGAUCCAUAGCAGGCUUAUCUUCACCUAAAUAAGAGUGUUGCUUCGAAAGCCCAAACCUUAGAGAAGACUAGGACUUUGAUUAUAAGAUACUAUCUACAUGGGAUCACAGUCAAUCAACUAUAUUUGACCUACCACGCUGAACAUGACUGUUUGCAGCAGGAUUAAAUGCAAACAUGAUCUAUCAAAAGCAAAUAUACUUCAGCUGUGGUCUAUUUCUAAUAAUAGCCACGAAGCUGGGUCAGAUGCAGCCACACGGGACUGAUGGAAGAGCUACAUAUCAGCAUGGCCACUCCUUGUUGCCUGACCUAGAACACAGGCUGCAUCAGAUGACGUGACUGUGGUGACUUCAGCUUCCCCAGUCCCCUCUGAGAAUCUGCCUUGAACUAACAAGUUAUUUCUUUGCUUUUGAAGCAUCAUUUUAAAAACACCAAGGAAAACACCUCUCAAACCAUUCUACAGGACAAUUUUGUUUUACAUGCAGAUGUUUCAGAAAAAAGCAUUUUCAACUUCUGUUAAAAGAAUCUUUUUUUCUAAAUACAUUUGUUGAUGAAUUUUAAAGAAAGAAUCAGUUUAAAGUUGUGUCUAAGGUGAUGCUAGAUAAAUCUGAGCAACAAACCAUCAGGAAAAAAGUUUGAAGAGAAAGGAAGUGGUUUCCCAACUUUUUGAUUGCAAUUUGAGAUGUGGUCAAUUUAUCUGACCCCACAAGCUGCACAUCAGAUGGCUAGAGCUACAAAACACGUACCCUGUAACUCAGGAGCUGAAGGAAAAAGGUGUUACUGGAGUAGAUCUCUCAUGGAAGAAGGUAAUAACUCCCAAGUGGCCACAUUACUUCCUUGUAGGAUAAGGCUGAGUGUGUAUUUUGUUUUUCAGUGACCCAGCAGUGUUCAUGUCAGUAGUACCUGUUGGCUUGCUUCUUCCUACAGCUGGGGAUUGAGAUUACCCAGCAGCAGUCCUUGUUCCAACAGCCCUGCAACUCAUUACAUGACAUGGGAACUGCAUUCGAGCUGUUCGUGAACCAUAGGCUGGCCAACCCAUACUGUUUCUUUAUUGAAACUGUGCAUCGUUUAGGCUUAGUAAGGCUAAACCAUAUACAUCAUGGCUUUUAAGGCUAUUUCUUUAUUAAAACUGGUUUAAGCUUUUAGAUUUAGCAGAAAAUCAGAUACAGAGAUGCCUUUAGGCAUCCUCAAAUUCCCUACAUACACUGAUUGAAGCUAGAUAGUGGUGGAUUCCUGCUAUAAUAUGCAAAAUAUAUAACAAAAUUGUCAUGAUUUUAGUUUAGGGCUUGGGGAGGGGGUUGGCACAUACAACGAAAGCAGAUACAGAUUGAAAAAAAAAAACUGACUAUCCCUACUAAGCUAGUUAUUAUUUUGUAACUAUAUUAAAUGGCCUGCAUUUGUCAACUGAAUCACUGUACUUCUGUUGGAUAUGACAGCUGAUUAAUUAAAGCCCAAUUUAUUAUUAUGCUGAGGACUGCAUUAACAAGGUCCUUAGAGUACCCACAACUUUUAAAAAGAAAAGGGAUAGACUGCAGAGGAAUGACAGCACACACUAAGUUCCCUUUUUCAGUUUUCCCACUGUAUGUAUGCGGACACACAUGCCACUUGUGCAGAUUAGAAGACCUGCUGUGCAGGCACUUCUGUCUUUGUCUCUUCUGAUCUACAGUACAAAAGAACAUCAAGUAAGUUUUCAGGUGCUGGGGGGUUGGUUUGUUUUAAAUAAUGCCACAACCACUACAAAUGACAUACCUGGGAAAAUACACCUGUUUUAUAAAAAUCUGACCUUUCCUAAGUAAUUAUAAGAACGCCAAUUCCCACCACCAUCGUAACUUAUUCACAGUACCUUCAUC